UCAGAACAUGGGUGAUAAGGUCCGUGUUCGAAAGGGAAACAGCCCAGACCACCAGCUAAGGUCCCAAAAUAUAUGUUAAGUGGAAAAGGAUGUGGCGUUGCCCAGACAACUAGGAUGUUGGCUUAGAAGCAGCCAUCAUUUAAAGAGUGCGUAAUAGCUCACUAGUCGAGUGACACUGCGCCGAAAAUGUACCGGGGCUAAACAUAUUACCGAAGCUGUGGAUUGUCCUUUGGACAAUGGUAGGAGAGCGUUCUAAGGGCGUUGAAGCAUGAUCGUAAGGACAUGUGGAGCGCUUAGAAGUGAGAAUGCCGGUGUGAGUAGCGAAAGACGGGUGAGAAUCCCGUCCACCGAUUGACUAAGGUUUCCAGAGGAAGGCUCGUCCGCUCUGGGUUAGUCGGGUCCUAAGCUGAGGCCGACAGGCGUAGGCGAUGGAUAACAGGUUGAUAUUCCUGUACCACCUAUAAUCGUUUUAAUCGAUGGGGGGACGCAGUAGGAUAGGCGAAGCGUGCGAUUGGAUUGCACGUCUAAGCAGUAAGGCUGAGUAUUAGGCAAAUCCGGUACUCGUUAAGGCUGA
rnacentral:rRNA from 1 species